rnacentral:rRNA from 2 species
CCACAAGGUGGUUGGAGCAUGUGGUUUAAUUCGUUGAUACGCGAGGAACCUUACCAGGGCUUAAAUGUAGAGUGACAGAUUGAGAGAUCGGUUUUUUUUCGGACACUUUACAAGGUGCUGCAUGGUUGUCGUCAGCUCGUGCCGUGAGGUGUCAGGUUAAGUCCUAUAACGAGCGCAACCCCUAUCGUUAGUUGCUAGCAGGUAAUGCUGAGGACUCUAGCGAGACUGCCGGUGCAAACCGUGAGGAAGGUGGGGAUGACGUCAAAUCAUCACGGCCCUUACGUCCUGGGCUACACACGUGCUACAAUGGUAUGGCCAAUGAGCAGCCACUUUGCGAAAAGGAGCGAAUCUAUAAACCAUAUCACAGUUCGGAUCGGAGUUUGCGACUCGACUCCGUGAAGCUGGAAUCGCUAGUAAUCGGAUAUCAGCCAUGAUCCGGUGAAUACGUUCCCGGGCCUUGUACACACCGCCCGUCAAGCCAUGGAAGCUGGUGGUGCAAGAAAUCGGUUACCGCAAGGAGCUGCCUAGGGUCAAUUUAUUUUAUAAAGGUAAGUCGUAACAAGGUAGCAAAUAAAUCGAUU